rnacentral:rRNA from 1 species
AAUAGAUACCCGGGUAGUCCAUGCCGUAAACGUUGGGCACUAGGUGUGGGGGACAUUCCACGUUUUCCGCGCCGUAGCUAACGCAUUAAGUGCCCCGCCUGGGGAGUACGGCCGCAAGGCUAAAACUCAAAGGAAUUGACGGGGGCCCGCACAAGCGGCGGAGCAUGCGGAUUAAUUCGAUGCAACGCGAAGAACCUUACCAAGGCUUGACAUGGACCGGAUCGCCGCAGAAAUGUGGUUUCUCCUUUUGGGGCCGGUUCACAGGUGGUGCAUGGUUGUCGUCAGCUCGUGUCGUGAGAUGUUGGGUUAAGUCCCGCAACGAGCGCAACCCUCGUUCCAUGUUGCCAGCGCGUAAUGGCGGGGACUCAUGGGAGACUGCCGGGGUCAACUCGGAGGAAGGUGGGGACGACGUCAAAUCAUCAUGCCCCUUAUGUCUUGGGCUUCACGCAUGCUACAAUGGCCGGUACAAAGGGUUGCGAUACUGUGAGGUGGAGCUAAUCCCAAAAAGCCGGUCUCAGUUCGGAUUGGGGUCUGCAACUCGACCCC